CUUAAGUGUCUGAUACAGGGUUAAAAUCUAUUGACUUUAACUCCAAAUUCAGUGCUCCUUUGACAUAAAUGAAAAUGUAUAGUAAAGAACAAUUUGCAUUUUUUUCAAGGAUUUAUUAAGCACUUACUGUGUGCUAGGUACUGGACUGUUUUUUGGUUUGUUUGUUUUGUUUUUUAACUCUUACCUUCUAUCUUAGAGUCAACAGUAAGUAUUGGUUCCAAAGCAGAAUACCUGUAAGGGCUAGACAAUUGGAGUUAAGUGACUUGCCCAGGGUCACACAGCUAGGUGUCAGAUUUCUUAGAAGGCAGAUUUGAACCCCAAAAUCUCUCAUCUCUGGGCUUGGAUCUCAAUCCACUUCACCACCUAGCUGCCUCUAUUGGGCUGCCUUUUAAGCCUUUCCAUUGUAUCUUUGAGUUGAUGCUCUUCAACAUGACCCGUUUGAUUUUUCUUUCUAAAGCUGUCGCUUUCUAUUAUGUUUAUAGUAUGAUUAAGAGGGACUCUCCUCAAAGUCCUUUACUCUCCAGCUGUACUAUCCUAGGAGUUCUGGGCUAGGAGAGACAAUGCCCACCAGGGACAGGCAGCCUGUUUGUCCUUGAAAGCCAAGAGAGCCCAGGAGACUGUCCUCUGCUCUGGUACCCAGAGGAACCUCUAAAUGAUUCCAGAAUGAGCUAGGCAUCAGAUUCUAAGAAGGAAUCCCAAGGAGUCUUCAUUAAAGGAGACAUUGAGCCUUGGAAGACCUUCCAUGGAAGAACAAUGGCAAGACAAAAGCCAAUAUGAUUAGCCCAGGAUGCCUAGAGCCUUUGACAUCUGACCAAGCUCUAAGUACUUCACCACACCUACUUUGGCCUUCUAGUCUACUGGAGAAAGUCUUGGCAUACUUGGUCUAUUGGUUACUCUCAACCUGGUUUGUCCCAUCAGCCAAGAUGGUUUUACAGGAGCGUGGCCACUGUUCAUGCUACAUCUUCUUGGAGCCACAGAAAAGGCAGAAAUUCUCGAAUGGGAAAAAAAAGGAUGACCAGAAACCAAAACUUUUCUUAAGAUGA
rnacentral:lncRNA from 1 species